rnacentral:rRNA from 1 species
ACGCUCGACACCUACGGGAGGAGCAGUAGGGAAUCUUCCACAAUGGGCGCAAGCCUGAUGGAGCAACACCGCGUGAGUGAAGAAGGGUUUCGGCUCGUAAAGCUCUGUUGUUGGAGAAGAACGUGCGUGAGAGUAACUGUUCACGCAGUGACGGUAUCCAACCAGAAAGUCACGGCUAACUACGUGCCUGCAGCCGCGGUAAUCUGAGCGGGCUGGCAAGGC